rnacentral:rRNA from 1 species
GACGAACGCUGGCGGCGUGCUUAACACAUGCAAGUCGAACGGAAAGGCCCUGCUUUUGUGGGGUGCUCGAGUGGCGAACGGGUGAGUAACACGUGAGUAACCUGCCCUUGACUUUGGGAUAACUUCAGGAAACUGGGGCUAAUACCGGAUAGGAUCUCCUGCUGCAUGGUGGGGGUUGGAAAGUUUCGGCGGUUGGGGAUGGACUCGCGGCUUAUCAGCUUGUUGGUGGGGUAGUUGCUUACCAAGGCUUUGACGGGUAGCCGGCCUGAGAGGGUGACCGGCCACAUUGGGACUGAGGUACGGCCCAGACUCCUACGGGAGGCAGCAGUGGGGAAUAUUGCACAAUGGGCGGAAGCCUGAUGCAGCAACGCCGCGUGCGGGAUGACGGCCUUCGGGUUGUAAACCGCUUUCGCCUGUGACGAAGCGUGAGUGACGGUAAUGGGUAAAGAAGCACCGGCUAACUACGUG